rnacentral:rRNA from 1 species
GACGAACGCUGGCGGCGUGCUUAACACAUGCAAGUCGAACGGAAAGGCCCUGCUUGCAGGGUACUCGAGUGGCGAACGGGUGAGUAACACGUGGGUGAUCUGCCCUGCACUUCGGGAUAAGCCUGGGAAACUGGGUCUAAUACCGGAUAGGAGCCAUUUUUAGUGUGAUGGUUGGAAAGUUUUUUCGGUGUAGGAUGAGCUCGCGGCCUAUCAGCUUGUUGGUGGGGUAAUGGCCUACCAAGGCGGCGACGGGUAGCCGGCCUGGGAGGGUGGACGGCCACAUUGGGACUGAGAUACGGCCCAGACUCCUACGGGAGGCAGCAGUGGGGAAUAUUGCACAAUGGGCGCAAGCCUGAUGCAGCGACGCCGCGUGGGGGAUGACGGCCUUCGGGUUGUAAACUCCUUUCGCUGGGGACGAAGCUUUUUGUGACGGUACCUAGAUAAGAAGCACCGGCUAACUACGUG